rnacentral:misc_RNA from 1 species
AACGCACCUUGCGCUCCUUGGAUAUUCCGAGGAGCAUGCCUGUUUGAGUGUAAUUAUAUUCUCAACUCCACUAGCUUUUGUGGCUAGCCUUUGGAGCUUGGAUGUGGAGGUCUUGCUGGCUUUGACCAAAAAGGUCAGCUCCUCUGAAAUGUAUUAGCGGAACCGUUUGCGAUCCGUCACAGGUGUGAUAAUUAUCUACGCCAGUGGGUUGCUUUCUGUAUGUUCAGCUUCUAAUCGUCCAGUAAAAUGGACAAUAUUACAUUGGUUAAACCUCAAAUCAGGUAGGACUACCCGCUGAACUUAA